AGGAAUAGUUGUAAUUAACUUUCUUAACCCAGAAGUUUUAGUGGUUUUUUUUUAUAAAUUAAGUAACCUGCCUUUAUUGUUUGUUACACCUUUAAAAACAUUAACGUAUAUCAAAAGAUAAUAAAUAAUUAUUUAAAGAAUUAAAGUGUCAUAAUUGUUUAAUUGUAAUUAAAUUAAUUGUUGUUAAUCAAGCAAUAUACUAUAGUGGGGCAGAAACGUCUCGCGGAAAAGGGCCGAAACGUCCAGGGGCCGAUUUUUCGACUGGGGCCAAUUUUGUUUGCGGCCGAAAUGUCCUGUUUGCUUGUCCGGUAUAUACCGGAAUACGGUAUUUAAUGUGGUCUUCCGUCAAAAUUCAAUCGCAACUUUUCGGCCCUUUCCGUCAGUCUUCGGAUAAGGAACUAAACAUCUGAAGGUUAUUAUAUAGAUAAUAGCCGAUGAUAAUCCGAUUGGUAAAAGAUUAUCCGAAGUUUGACGGAAAGGGCCGAGAAAAUACGCCUGAGCCAAUCAAAUCACUGUGAGGACGUAGGCGCUCGUGUAAGAUGAUAUGCUGGCGCGCAACGUGACGAGAGAGUUAUGAACAGAUGAAAGUUGUAAUUUUAUAAAGGCUAUACCUUAGAAAAAUGGCAGUAGAACUGGAAGACACACUUUGGUUGGAGAGAGACAAUCAUAGAGUGGUUAUUUUUGCUCUUUGUCAUCAACCACAAGUGAACGUCGCGUGGCCAUGACUUACACUAUAUCCAAUUCCCCCUACUACAGUUGGGCCGGUUUUAACCCACUUCAGGAAAUGGCGUCAAGUGGUUUCAAAUGGGUAACAACAUCAUAAGGAUCUUAAUUGUAAACUUCUCCAAAAACACUCAACAUAUCAUCUAGUCAAGGAUUUGUGAGUUUGAAUAUUGUACCAUUAAUUACCAAUACAAUCUGACAUUUAAGACACUCGACACUUAAUUGUAUAUCUACGUACUGUAUUUCCUGUUUUAUUAUUAAAUAUUAGUUAAAAAUGUAUAUAAUCCGAGCAUAUUAUACGAUGGACAGUAGUCAAUUGCAACAAUUAUUAUACUGUCAUAGAAAACCUUUUAUAGAAAAAAAGAUGCAAAAAUUUAAAACUUAUUAUUUUAUACUGAAGCGUUUGCCUAUGUACCAGGGCUACAGAUAACAUUUUGUGUAUAUUGGGUAAUUACCCCUUGUUUUGUGAUCUAUUGGGUUUUUAGCUCACCUGUCACAAAGUGACAGGGUGAGCUUUUGUGAUCGCUUUUCGUCCGGCGUCCGUCCGGCGUCUGUCCGUAAACUUUAACUUUAAAUGACAUCUCCUCAUAAACCACUAAGCCAAUUUUAUCCAAACUUCACAGGAAUGUUCCUUUGGUGGUCACCUUUAAAGAUUGUUCAAAGAAUUUUGUUCCAUGCAAAACUCUGGUUGCCAUGGCAACCGAAAGAAAAAACUUUAAAUAUCUUCUUUUAAAAAAACAUAAGAGCUAGAGCUUAGAUAUUUGGCAUGAAACAUCUUCUAGUGAGUGUCUACCAAGUUUGUUCAAAUAAAAGCCCUGGGGUCAAAAUUGGCCCCGCCCCGGGGGGUCAUUGAUUUUCCCUAUAUGCAUAUAGUAAAAACUUAAAAUAUCUUCUUUUAAAGAACCCAAAGAGCUAGAGCUAAGAUAUUUAGCAUGAAACAUGUUCUAAUGGGUGUCUACCAAGUUUGUUCAAAUAAAAGCCCUGGGCUCAAAAUUGACCCCGCCCUGGGGGGUCAUUGAUUUUCCCUAUAUGCAUAUAGUAAAACUUAAAAAAUCUUCUUUUAAAGAACUCAAAGAGCUAUGGCUAAGAUAUUGAGCAUCAAACAUGUUCUAAUAAGUGUCUACCAAGUUUGUUCAAAUAAAAGCCCUGGGGUCAAAAUUGGUCCCGCCCCAGGGGGUCAUUGAUUUUCCCUAUAUGCAUAUAGUAAAAACUUAAAAAAUCCACUUUUGAAGAACCAAAAGAGUUAGAGCUAAGAUAUUUAGCAUGAAACAUGUUCUAAUAAGUGUCUACCAAGUUUGUUCAAAUAAAAGCCCUGGGGUCAAAAUUGGCCCCGCCCCGGGGGGUCAUUGAUUUUCCCUAUAUGCAUUUAGUAAAAACUUAAAAAAUCUUCUUUUAAAGAACUCAAAGAGCUAUGGCUAAGAUAUUUAGCAUCAAACAUGUUCUAAUAGGUGUCUACCAAGUUUGUUCAAAUAAAAGCCCUGGGGUCAAAAUUGGCACCGCCCCGGGGGGUCAUUGAUUUUCCUUAUAUGUGUAUAGCAAAAACUUAAAAAAUCUUCUUUGAAAAAACACAAAUAGCUAGAGUUAAGAUAUUAAGCAUGAAACAUCUUUUAGUGAGUGUCUACAAAGUUUGUUCAAAUAAAAGACCUGGGGUCAAAAUUGGCCCUGCCCCGGGGGUCAUUGAUUUUCUUUAUAUGUGUAUAGCAAAAACGUAAAAUCUUCUUUGAAAAAACCCAAAUAGCUAGAGUUUAGAUAUUUAGCAUGAAACAUCUUCUAGUAAGUGUCUACAAAGUUUGUUCAAAUAAAAGCCCUGGCCCGGCCCCAGGGGUGUCAUUGUUUUUAACUAUAUGUGUAUAGUAAAAACUUAAAAAAAAUCUUCUUUUAAAAAGCCCAAUGAGCUAGAGCUUAGAUGUUUAGCAUCAAAAACAUCUUCUUAUGGGUGUCUACCAAGUUUGUGCAAAUAAAAGCCCUUGGGUUAAAUUGGCCCUGCAACGUUGGGGGGCUGGGGGUUGGGGGGGCCUAUAUACAGGUGAGCGACCUCAGGGCCAUCAUGGCCCUCUUGUUUCUAUUUUCUUAGAGUUAUUUCACCCUACCUUCUCUAACAAAUACGGGUUAUAAAGCACGAGUUCAUGUAUUUUACCCAAAAUUUCUGACCUUCAUUGUAGACUCUGACUGUUGUAGGUUUUGUAAGGUAAUGAAAAAGCUACUUACGUAACUAUGCUUUAUUGUUUAUUGGCUUAGGAGAUUUUCAAGCUGCCUGAUAUAAUAUAAGUUAUUAUUUUUAUUGGGUUUUUAACCAGGUUUUCCGAAGGAAAAAACUGGUUAUUAGAUUGAGGUAUGUCGGCGAGCGGGCGGGCGUAAACAAUUUCUUCUGUGCGCAACUCCUUCUACAUUUCUCAACAGAUUUUGACCAAACUUUCACAGAAGCUUUAUCAAGUGCCCUGGGGCAUAUUGUAUGGGUUUUGGGAUUGGAUAAUAUUUGACCUUAUUAUGGCCCUUUGUUUUUUUUUUCCUUAUACAGAAUUAGCAAUAUAUAGUGAACAAAUUCUUCUGUGCUGAACUCGUCCUACAUUUCUUAACGGAUUUUGUUCAAACUUUCACAGAAGCUUUGUCAUCAAGUGCCCUGGCGCAUAUUGUCGGGGUUUUGUGAUUGGAUAAUUUUUUACCUAAUUAUGGCCCUUUGGUUUUUUUCCUUAUACAGAAUAUAUAGUGAACACUUCUUCUGUGCAAUUCCUCCUACAUUAUUCAUGUUUUACAUUGCACAUAGUUACAUUGUUUGUUGCUUGUAUUUGUAUUUCAAAUACAACAUAUUUAUCUACAAUGGUGAUAAUUGAAAACCUGGUUUCGUGGCAUUGCCAUGUUUCUUGUUUGACAUUUUAAGUGGGUAAUAACGCAAAUACGCAUGUUAUCUGCAGCCCUGAAUUGUACUAUAAUUGCUCGAGUAGUCAUAAGUACUCCCCCACUUACUUUUUCCUUCAAACGGGAAGUGAUCUAAGGGUAUAUACCGCCAGAACGGAAAUAUAUGAUAUCGAGUAUCGUAUACAA